rnacentral:rRNA from 1 species
GACGAACGCUGGCGGCGCGCUUAACACAGGCAAGUCGAGCGAGAACCGGCCUUCGGGCCGGGGAAAGCGGCGAACGGGUGAGUAACACGUGGGUAAUCUGCCCUCGGCACCGGGAUAGCCCGGGGAAACCCGGAUUAAUACCGGAUGGCCCUUUGAGUCCUCGGAUUCAAAGGAAAAGGUAGCUUCGGCCUCCGGCCGAGGAUGAGCCCGCGGCGGAUUAGCUUGUUGGUGGGGUAACGGCCUACCAAGGCGACGAUCCGUAGCUGGUCUGGGAGGACGAUCAGCCACACUGGGACUGAGACACGGCCCAGACUCCUACGGGAGGCAGCAGUGGGGAAUCUUGCGCAAUGGGCGAAAGCCUGACGCAGCGACGCCGCGUGAGGGAAGAAGGCCUUCGGGUUGUAAACCUCUUUCAGGAGGGACGAAGCCACUCGGGUUAAUAGCCCAGAGGGUGACGGUACCUCCAGAAGAAGCCCCGGCUAACUACGUGCCAGCAGCCGCAAGUAAGAC